GUAACAAUCUGUGAGAUGUUAGGGUCUGGUUAGGGUCUGUUAGUUAUGCUUCUCUUCAGAAAGCAUAUAACAUACACUUCAGUGUCAUGCUUUUUCCUCUUUUUCUCUCGUGCUUGGCAACGCCGGCAACAAACUGGAAACAUAAACAGAAAAAAAAACAAGUGACGUUGCUUCCAAGCUGUUUUUGCGAUUUUUUCUUCUGAAAAAUCAAUAUGUAUAUUGCGAUGUUUGAUUGCUUUUUCAUCAUUCGGCUUUGUGUCAGCAUCUGCAAAACUAAGUUGCAGGCAUCAACGAGAAGCUGGUCAUGGUCACCCCAGGGCGGAAAUCGCUGAUGAGAAGCGCUCAAGGAUGCAACGCAUAGAUGGGAUGGGGUUUCCUCUGAAUAGUCGCUGUGAUACGGUCCGCGUUUUGGAUGGAAUACUCCGGCAGCAUUCACAUUUCUUUGGCAGCUCCAUUGACGAUUUGGUGUUUUUUUAUAAUCAUAACGUCUCUGGCCUGAAGAAUGCGCAUCAGUUGGGACCACCAUAAAAUGGUGAGAUAAAGCAAAUUCAGAGGAGGCACUUUUCUUUUCGGUGGUUGACAGCUCUACUGCCAGGCGAUGAGGAAUGUCUUUUCGGAAUAUUAAUUUCCAUCCGGGAACGAAUCUCAACCAGCAGAAUGCAUCUGGAUUUCGCCUGGGUGGUGCUGGUUGGUUCCUGAGAAAUCGCCGGGUGUAGGAGAUGAGUUGCUGCAGGACCAAUAGGCGUUAUUUCACUGCAAGAUGGGGAAGAUUCUAUGCGAUGCAUGAAGUCUAGGUUGUAAGCUCAAGUGCAUGAAGAAUUGCUUGGUCCAAUAAGAAGAAUCUCAGAUCGUCGGACAGAGAUCCUAUCUUCACGUCU